rnacentral:rRNA from 1 species
GACGAACGCUGGCGGCACGCUUAACACAUGCAAGUCGAACGGACUUAACUGAUUUUGCUUUUUGAUGUUAGUGGCUGACGUGUGAGAAACACGUGAGCAACCUGCCUCUGAUAGGGCGAAAUCUUCUGGAAACGGGGGGUAAUAGCCCUUAUAAUAGAAAGAUCGCCUGAUUGAUAUAUGAGAGCAAUCCGCUUAGUGAUGGGCUGGCGGCUGAGUAGACAGUUGAUGAGGUAACGGCUGACCAAGUCGCCGACCAGUAGCCGGACUGAGAGGCUGAGCGGCGACAUUGAGACUUAGACACGGCACAGGCUCCGACGGGAGGAAGCAGGGGGGAAUCCUGCAGCAGGGAGGGAACGUUGAUGAAGCGAGGCCGCGUGGAGGAAGCAGGUUUUGGGAGUGUGAACUCCUCUUAGCUGGGAGGAUAGUGACGGUAGCUGAAGAAAAAGCACCGGCUAACUACGUG